UACGUAGGAGGCAAGCGUUGUCCGGAAUUACUGGGCGUAAAGCGCGUGUAGGUGGUGGGACAAGUCUGCUGUGAAAGCGCCUGGCUUAACCGGGCGAGGUCGGCGGAAACUGUCCGACUCGAGGACGGUAGAGGGGGGUGGAAUUCCCGGUGUAGUGGUGAAAUGCGUAGAGAUCGGGAGGAACACCUGUGGCGAAGGCGGUCUUCUGGAGCACUCUUGACGCUGAGGCGCGAAAUCUGGGGGAGCGAACGGG
rnacentral:rRNA from 1 species